GCAGAGUUUUCAGAUAUCAAGCUCCUCUCUUGUGGAAUCAACUUACAGUUUCUGUCCGUGAGGCUGACACUCAGACUGACUCAGGCACAUGAUCUUUCUAGAGCGUGGAGGACAAGGUGAAUGAUCUCAAGACGUGUCGUGGUAGGAAAUCAUAAAGGCGCAGAUAAUGGAGCCAGGAACUAAUCAGGAAACACAGGAGCCAAAAAACACCAAUCCUUACCUCUUUAAUACAGAACUUUGUUGUCUUCUGACUACCUGACACUCAGUAAAAUUAGUUUCUCAGUUCAGAUAAAAGACUCUUCAUCAGCUGGAGCCCAAAUUUACAUGACAAGUUCCUCAGAGGUCCAUUCUAGGCCCUAUUUCUUUUUAGUUUCUUUGGGGUCCAUUUUUGACAAUGAAUAAAGUUGCAUAAAGUGAUUCAACCAAAUUAUCAAUUUCCUAAUGACUCAAAACAAAAUUGCAGUAAAGAUUAUUUAGAAACUGAAGAGAAAACUAAACUGGACAAUGGUUAACAGGUGUGUUAAUGGUUCAAGCAGCAUCAAUGACGUUUCUACAGGACCUGUGAGCAAAAGAACAUGCAAAACCAUAUGGGAAUUUGUUUCAAUAUAUUUCAAAUUUAUAUUCAGUUGUGAGGCAGAAAAACAAGGACUGUUUAUAGUUUUGUGGUGAUGCAGCUAUUAAAGUGUGAAACCCCUCAACCAAAGGAAAAUGUAUUUGCUUUUGAUUUAUUUCUUUGUAUUGUUCAUCACUUUUGUCCAACUUAAAUGGUUUUAAAUGUUCUUCAUGUAUAAUUGUUAAAUCUUCCUAUUGAAUGAAUAA